rnacentral:rRNA from 1 species
UACAGAGGGGGCAAGCGUUGUUCGGAAUUACUGGGCGUAAAGGGCGCGUAGGCGGCCUGCUAAGUCGAACGUGAAAUCCCUGGGCUCAACCCAGGAACUGCGUCCGAUACUGGUUGGCUUGAAUCCGGGAGAGGGACGUGGAAUUCCAGGUGUAGCGGUGAAAUGCGUAGAUAUCUGGAGGAACACCGGUGGCGAAGGCGGCAUCCUGGACCGGCAUUGACGCUGAGGCGCGAAAGCUAGGGGAGCAAACGGG